rnacentral:rRNA from 1 species
GACGUAGGGUGCGAGCGUUGUCCGGAUUUAUUGGGCGUAAAGAGCUCGUAGGCGGCUCGUCGCGUCGACCGUGAAAACCCGCGGCUUAACUGCGGGCUUGCGGUUGAUACGGGCGGGCUAGAGUUCGGUAGGGGAGACUGGAAUUCCCAGUGUAGCGGUGAAAUGCGUAGAUAUUGGGAGGAACACCAGUGGCGAAGGCGGCUCACUGGACCGGUACUGACGCUGAUGCGCGAAAGCGUGGGGAGCAAACGGG